rnacentral:lncRNA from 1 species
AAAGAAAGGACAAAGCUUUUGGCUAAUGCACAAAUGACUCUGCUUGGUCAAGGAAUUAACCUAAUAUAUUAUCAAGCUGGGUAUUUUUUAAUACAACUUUUUACAUAACAGACAUUACCUGUCGUUGCUGAUGAAGCCGUCUGUGUCAUCAGGGCAGUAACUCGGGUCACUAUCAGAAGCGUCAUGAUGGCGUGUCCUUUUCAUGGGAGUCAAGGGAGGCACUGGCAACAAUUUAGGAGGUGUCACAAUGGUCACCCCAGUUAAUAUCCUAUUUACAGCGGGCAUCUGUCAGCCUCCCUUUAUGGGUCAUGCCCCUCUCCCAAACUGAGACGCACCGCGCUGCUCCUCUACCCAUCAGCCCAUACAAAUGCUGACCCAACGAC